AUUGAACGCUGGCGGCAGGCCUAACACAUGCAAGUCGAGCGGAUGAAGGGAGCUUGCUCCUGGAUUCAGCGGCGGACGGGUGAGUAAUGCCUAGGAAUCUGCCUGGUAGUGGGGGAUAACGUCCGGAAACGGGCGCUAAUACCGCAUACGUCCCGAGGGAGAAAGUGGGGGAUCUUCGGACCUCACGCUAUCAGAUGAGCCUAGGUCGGAUUAGCUAGUUGGUGGGGUAAAGGCCUACCAAGGCGACGAUCCGUAACUGGUCUGAGAGGAUGAUCAGUCACACUGGAACUGAGACACGGUCCAGACUCCUACGGGAGGCAGCAGUGGGGAAUAUUGGACAAUGGGCGAAAGCCUGAUCCAGCCAUGCCGCGUGUGUGAAGAAGGUCUUCGGAUUGUAAAGCACUUUAAGUUGGGGGGAAGGGCAGUAAGUUAAUACCUUGCUGUUUUGACGUUACCAACAGAAUAAGCACCGGCUAACUUCGUG
rnacentral:rRNA from 1 species